rnacentral:rRNA from 1 species
UACAGAGGGUGCAAGCGUUAAUCGGAAUUACUGGGCGUAAAGCGUGUGUAGGUGGUUAGGUAAGUUAGAUGUGAAAUCCCCGGGCUCAACCUGGGAACUGCGUUUAAAACUGCUUGACUAGAGUACUGUAGAGGAUAGUGGAAUUUCCAGUGUAGCGGUGAAAUGCGUAGAUAUUGGAAGGAACACCAGUGGCGAAGGCGACUAUCUGGAUAGAUACUGACACUGAGACACGAGAGCGUGGGGAGCAAAC